CUACGGGGUGCACCAGUGAGGAAUAUUGCACAAUGGGGGGAACCCUGAUGCAGCAACACCGCGUGGAGGAUGACGCAUUUCGGUGUGUAAACUCCUUUUAUAUGUCAAGAAAAUGACGGUAGCAUAUGAAUAAGCACCGGCUAACUCCGUGCCAGCAGCCGCGGUAAUACGGAGGGUGCAAGCGUUACUCGGAAUCACUGGGCGUAAAGGACGCGUAGGCGGGUUGGAAAGUCAGGUGUGAAAUCCUACAGCGUAACUGUAGAACUGCACUUGAAACUUCUAAUCUAGAGUAUGGGAGGGGGAGAUGGAAUUAGUGGUGUAGGGGUAAAAUCCGUAGAUAUCACUAGGAAUACCUAAAGCGAAGGCGAUCUCCUGGAACAUUACUGACGCUAAGGCGUGAAAGCGUGGGGAGCAAACAGGAUUAGAUACCCGUGUAGUC
rnacentral:rRNA from 1 species